UAAAUUUUAAAUAGAUUUAUAAUUUCUAUUUAAAUUAUAAAGAUUUGUGUAAGCGAUGGCAGCUCUGUUGCCCAACAAGUGUCAGAUGAAAUGAAGCAAGUGGCAGCAACCAAAAGGGCACAGUCAAAAAACAACAGUCAGCGAGUGAACAACGUAAAAUAGCGAGUACGCAGUGUUUGAGAACGUUUUAUAUAAAAAUGCAUAAACUGUCAUAUUUUCAUAUAUUUUAAUAAAGUUCUAUAUUUUAAUUGUUUGACUGUCAACUAUAACGGCACCUGCAGAUAUAUAGUAUACUAUAUAAACGAUACAUAAGUAUCGGUUUUAUGGAUGGCGAUUAGUGAUUUGAAGGUGGAACAACUAAAGAGGUUGCUACGGGAAAUGCAAUGCAUCGAGGAUUAUUUCAUAAAUCUCGGAAGGCUAAGUGAGCCACAAGUAUAUCAACCAAGCAAGCGAGACAACAAUAAUUGAAACAAAAUAAUUGAAACGCUACAGUUGCAACGCACCUGGACAUUUCUCCAACAAAUGUCCAUUGCCGCAGAAACGACAUCGCUGUACAACGUGUAACAAAGUUCAUCCAAACCGAGGAAAUUGUGAGAAGACGACAGCAGCGUUACGACGACUUGGUGCAACCAAACUUGACGAAUGUUUCAAGAAAUUAGUCUACAUAAAAGCGCAACCGUUGUUUUGUUGUAUGUGGCACCUUUUUCGCACUCACCAUAUAAUAUAAUUUCACCCAAAUUGUUAUUAAAAAGAGUUCGUUUACACUUCACUUCAAGUGGUUAUUAGCUUCGAAAUUUAUUAUUCCACAAGUAACCCGAUGGUCGCGUGAUAAAAGUGAGCCGUGAGCAGGCGCUAUUCCAACCGCAUUUAAUAAAUGUUGAAGGACGAGGCAUCGUUGGGUUAGUAUUUCAAACAAUAAAAGCGGCCGAUAUCAAUAUUCGCCCGGAAUUGUACGUGCAUAUCUUGCUAUCUGGUGGUUCAACCAUGUACCCAGGUCUUCUAGUCGAUGUCGUCGAAACGUGAAAUUAAGCAAUUGUAUUUGAAACGUUUGCUUAAGAAUGAUAUGGAUAAAUUAACGAAAUUUAAAAUUAAUGAGCCGUCACGACAAAAAGAUAAAGCAUUUCCCAAGGCGGCCAGUUCUACGAUACCGGAAUUGAAAUGGAUUUUAUCUGGCCAAGAUCUGUCAUAUCGUCGAUCUAACCUUUUGAAUAGGAUGGCGCAAAAGUUAUCCUCCUAUCAGAAGUUGCUAUAAAUUUUGCAAUUGACCUCUAAUGUCAGUUCUGUUUUGACACAUGCAAAAUACACAUAAAUAAACAAUGGUACGCUACACUGCUCCAGAACGGGUUAUUGGUGACUAUUUAUUUGACCAAUAAUCGGUUGGUGACUUCGGCACAACGUGAAUUUCGUCGCAGAUUUCCUGGCCGUCCGACGCCUACUGGUGAUACACUGCGACAUUUAGCCGCUAGCCUCGAAGAGACUGGCACAACACGAGAUGCUGCCAGGCGUGGCAGACCCCGGAGUAGCCGUUCUGCAGAGAAUAUUGCUAAUGUUGCCGAGGAUGUCAUGGAAGCGCCGUCGACAUCGACCAGACGACAUGCCUCGCAAAUGGUUAUCAGUCGACUGUGUUUACAGCGAAUUUUGGUACAAAGUUUGAAAAUGUAUAAAGUAUAGACGGUGUAUCAGCUGUUAGCUGCUAACCGCCAAUCGCGUCUAACAUACGCUCAAGCCAUUUUUAAUCACCACUAAGAGGAAGAUGAUUUUUCAUCAAAACUAAUCAUGAGUGAUGAGGCCCAUUUCCAUCUACGUAAAUAAGCGAAAAUUACGCAUCUGAAAAUCAGCGUGGAACCCACGAAGAGCCAUUACACCCGCUCAAAGCCAAAAGUAUGGUGUGCUGUUUUCGCUGGAGGAGUCAUCGGACCUUUUUUCUUCGAGGACGUCGAAGUAGGUCUUGGAAGCAACCAAAAUUGCUCCAUUGAGACGCUCAGAAAUUAAAGUUAAUCAAAUACACAACACUUUAACUAAGUCACGAAAUAACCGACAAGUCAGACUACCAAAACUCUAACACAUUAAAAGAAUUUAAGUGCUAUCUUAUAUAGCAGUCUUUAAAGUUUCAUUUAUACGACUAUUGGAAGUCCUAUAUGUUCCCAAAUUCCUUAUUUUAAUUAAUUGUUCAUUGCCUUUCAGGAAAGUACACCACAUCUGAUCCAAUUCAUGGAGUUAAUGUGAUUUAUCUUGCCGUAUGUUGUCGUUAUUAUUGAAUCUUUACCGAAAAUUUUUUUAAGCUGGAAAUUUUAAAGAAUUUCGUGAAUAUACGGAUAUGUACUUACGUCUUUUUUAUAUGUAUUAAUAUAUUAAAAGAUACUGUGCAAGUGCCUAGCAACUUAGUGAAGAAGAAAUCUUAGAAAUACUUAGAAAUUAAAUUAUUUUUAUUGACUCCACGUCAGAAUCGAAAAAAUUCAAUUUUACUUCUCACAUGUAAAUGCAAACUUGUUUAUUCAAAACUGGCUUUUUAUUCGCGGCUUCGCCCGCAGUGGAGCCAUUACAUAAGUAUGAGAGGUAGGGGUAUAAUAAUAGAAAUGAGUCAAUAUGAUAACUAAAUGUUACUGCUUGGCUGAGAUCAACAAUUUUUAAAAAUUACUACAGACAAUGAAGUUUUAACACCUUAAAAUAUGCGUAUGGAAAUGCAACAAAAAAUGUUAAAAUAUAUUUCACCGUAGCAAAAAUAAAUAAUUAUGAAUUCUAACAAUUUAAAAAAAUAAAAUGAAAUAUAAAUAAAGUAUUAAUCUUGGAUAUUUAUGUUAUAAGUUUUCCCGUCGGGUGCAAAUAUAUGUAAAUUCCGGGCAUUAGAUACACGUGAACAGGCUACAUAAAUUUGACCAUGAGAGAAGCAUGGGUUUUCCAAAUGCACUCCUGCUACUUGUAAUGUUCGUCCUUGUGCCUUGUUUAUAGUAACAGCAAAGCUAAGCUUGACGGGAAAUUGAACCUUUUUAAAUUGGAAUGGAAGGUCAGUGGGAAUAAUUGGUAUCCGAGGUAUUAUAAUACUAUUUCCCUUACGACACUUGUUAAAAUAGUAGCACCAAGUAUGUUCUGUCCCAAUUUCGUUAUCCGAAGCGUUGCUCCAUUACAUUGCCAAGGAGCAUCUAGAUUUCGCAUAAGCGUUAUUGGUACAUUUAGUUUCAAUUGAAGUUUAUGUGACGGUACAUCUGAUAGUUCAAGUGAAUUUAAAAACUUCACAGGAUAUGAAGUACUUAGUUUCGUAUCUAUAAUUGUAUCCAUUGACAAAUAUUCCUUCAUUUCUCCUUGAACCGCUUUUAAAAUGUCAGUGUUGAUCCUAUUAACAAUUUAAUUUCUUGGUGCUAAUAUAUACACAAAUUUUGUUGCAAUUCCGGAAAAACAUUAGCAAUGAGAUCCACAUCACUUUCUACUAAAUUACAAAAUUCUCUUAACAGUAAUACUAUAUGAAGCCUUCAGCGUCAACAUCUAAACAACCAUCACCAAUUUUCAACAACAUUUCUGCGUAAAGUCCUGAAUACACGUCAUUAUGAAGAUGCACUCUCAUAUUCGUUUUCAGGCGGAGUUUUUCAACUGUCGACCAUAAGCUUGAUUAUUUAGUGCACGCUUGAAUUUCAUCUGAAUCACUGGGGAUCACUGGGUUUGACGGAAAUCACUUGGAAAUUGCUUUGACUCAUCUGUAACAUUUAAUAAUAAAGUUUUCAAAGGCUCUUUUGGUUCACCAAGUAAUGGAAGUGAAACUUUACCACCGCAACAGCACAUUUCAGCAGUUUCAUCUUUCCAUUUAAAAGUAUCGCAGUACUGACAUUUUUUAUUCAUUGAGUCAAUAACAAUCAAUGGAUGAUUAUGAUAUUCAUGGUUGAAACUUCAUUACUGUAGUGCUAGAUGGCGGUGAAGUAGCUAAAUUUGACGAUUUUUUGACAAACAAUUUUUUUAUCUUUCUUAAAAAAUUUUCUUUUUAAUUAUAAAGUCUUCAGGAGUAUAUGUACAAAGUUUCAUGACAACCGAUCAUCAGUUAAAAACUUCAGAAUGUAGUUUUUGCGUGAAAGCGUAACAAACAAACGUACAUUCAUGAUGAUUGUUUUAUCAAUUCCCAUUCCCUCCUGAAUAGUAUCGAGUCAAUAAGCGUUGAAGCUGGUAUACUUCGUUCGGGCAAAAGCCUCCUCAUCUGUGGAAGCAUAAAAGCAGAAUGGAACGAAGAUGGAAUGACCAAAGAAGUCUGUAAGGGCACUGCACAGGAUGGAAUCCUCUUUUUGCCCCUACUGACGUAAUAAACUUAGGCGACAAAGCCGCACAAUAGUAGUAUAUUGGAAUGGCAUUUCUCUCUUAAUAACGCGAAGGUGUCUAUAUAUCCUUAACAAUUGGGCUUAAAUCCGUAUUAAACGAAUUUGCUUGCAUUCGAAAAGAAAUUCAAAAUCCCUCCACGGAGGGACCAAGUACCCUUCGGUAGUUCUGGCUACAAACUAGUGUGAAAGCACAAUGCUGAACACAGAGAAGAAACAGAUAUCUAAUCUGAAAACUUGUUAUGCAUCUCGUUAAGUUCAGAUGUAGCCCCACACCUUAUACUUUCAUAAUUUGCAAAGGUCAAAGACAAGGAAAUAUUUUCAGGAGUUGCAAAACUUCACAUAUGUUCCGCAAAAAUUAAAUAUUCACUGGAUCGACAAAUUCGCGUAAUGAAAGCAAUCAUAUUACAUAUUUUACUUAUGAUGAAUAUCGUGAACCAAUUUCUAACAUUUUCUGUAAUUAACUAUAGCAUUCAAUAUUAUAAGUUCACUACUGGUCUGAUUACAGGUGUUUCAUCAUCCCGAUCAUUUAUAUACCCAUAUAUAACCAUAUAUUUUACUCGUCUGUUUUUAGGUGAUACAAACAAUUGUUAGGUGAACAAAAGUGAUAUACUUAUUACCAAGACCAAAUUUGAGAGAGUCAAGGAACAUGUUCAACAUCCAAUCUCAAUUUCUUAUCAAGUUUUUUACUCCAUUUAUAUAUAUAUUUUACGAAAGCCAACAUUAGUCGAAACUUUUUGAAAAGUUGAAAAAUCUACUUUUCCUAAAAAUUUGUCGUAGAUUAGACAUUAUCCAUUUCUAAAAAAUUCAGUUUAUGUUACAAAACCGGACAAAAGUGACUCAAAAUUGAUUUUUUUAGUACCUAAGAAACCGUAUUACAAUAAACCGAUUAAAUAAUUGACAUUCAGCCCGAUAUACAAGUAUUGUAACUCAAGUAGUCGGAAGCUAGACUUCGUUCAGUACGCACGUCCUUAUUUUCGAUACUCUCUAUUAUUCUCGAAAUUGACUCUGGUGUUUAGUGUUGCGUGAAGUGAGUUCUGGAAAAUAUUUUUUAUGGAUUCUGGAUAACAUGCAGUGACGUAGCUACAACUUCGGGCGCCCGAGGCCAAGGAUGUUCAUGCCGCCCCCCUUUAUCUACCUACCUACAAGUUUCAUGAGGUGGUUCGAUCAAAAGUGAAUUUUUACAAGAUAUUUUGGACCACGCACAUUCGGUUUUUGAGGAAAUUGAUAGUAAAUUUUCAAGACAUCUUAUUAAAAGCCAUAGAAAAAACCCAUUUUCGCCCUAUAUCUUGUACACUUUUGACACAAUUUUCAGGAAUUUUUGCCCGAAUUAGAGUUUUUAAAUACAAUUUUUGAAAAUUUGGAGAAAUAAAAGUAUUUGUUACAUUCAAAACAUAGGGUAACUGUGAGAGUGACACGUCGUUAGGCAAAGCUAGAAAAGUGCAUCUUUAAGUUCUAUCACUAUUUUUAAGAAAGAAUAAGCCAAAAGAUAUAAAACAAAUUCAGGGACUGAAGAGUAUUCGAGUAAAAAUUAAUAUUUUUCAUUGUUAUUCAGAUUAUUACAUUGUGAGUGUACAGCUCUUUAUCUUUUAUAAUAAAUU